rnacentral:rRNA from 1 species
UACGAAGGGGACUAGCGUUGUUCGGAAUCACUGGGCGUAAAGCGCACGUAGGCGGAUUUGUAAGUCAGGGGGUGAAAUCCCGGGGCUCAACCCUGGAACUGCAUUGAAUACUGGGAGGCUAGAGUACUGGAGAGGAAACUGGAAUUUACGGUGUAGCAGUGAAAUGCGUAGAGAUCGUAAGGAAGACCAGUGGCGAAGGCGAGUUUCUGGACAGUUACUGACGGCUGAGGCACGAAGGCCCAGGGGGAGCAAACGGG